AUUGAACGCUGGCGGCAGGCCUAACACAUGCAAGUCGAGCGAGCGGCGGACGGGUGAGUAAUGUAUGGGGACCUGCCCGAUAGAGGGGGAUAACUACUGGAAACGGGGGCUAAUACCGCAUACUAUUGGAUGAACCAAUAUGGGAUUAGCUAGUAGGUGGGGUAAAGGCUCACCUAGGCGACGAUCCCUAGCUGGUCUGAGAGGAUGAUCAGCCACACUGGGACUGAGACACGGCCCAGACUCCUCCGGGAGGCAGCAGUGGGGAAUAUUGCACAAUGGGCGCAAGCCUGAUGCAGCCAUGCCGCGUGUAUGAAGAAGGCCUUAGGGUUUUAAAGUACUUUCAGCAGGGAAGCGGUACCCGCAGAAGAAGCACCGGCUAACUCCGUGCCAGCAGCCGCGGUAAUUC
rnacentral:rRNA from 1 species